rnacentral:lncRNA from 1 species
AACAAUGAAAUCCAUGAACUCAGUCCCGUCCAUGCAAUGCAAACCUCCUAAAUGAUUAAAAUAUAUAUUUCUAUAAAUUUCAAAUAAAUGUAAGGGUUAACAUUGACAUUAUAAAGCAUCGAUUCAUCAAAAUUCUCCCCUGCAUUUGGUUUGUUUUUGUUUUCAUUUUCAGUUGAUAUGUUUUUACUAAUUACAAAAGUCCCAACUUAUUUUCACUUUAUUUCCUGUUUUGAAGAACCUGCAAAGGGAAUGACGAAUAGGGAAACAAUUAUAUGGAAAAAGAUAUUUGUGAAAGAGAUAAAGCAAGGAAACUAAUUAAUUACGCCAGAUGAGGAAGAGUCAUGUGCUUCAAGAGUGUUGGGUGUCGAGUGACAAAUGCCUUCCAUUCUUCUUUGCUUAUUUUAUCAUCUCUAUCAGCAUCGGCCUCUUGAAAUGUCUGACAUUUUUUAAAAAGAAAAGCUACAUAAAGGAUCGAAACUAAAAUCAACAGAGGGAAAAACACUUUCCUGCAAACAAUUACCUUAUCAAUAAUGACAUCAAGAGCUUCAUCUUCCAGGUCCAUCCCAUAUUCUGACAAAAUGGCAACAACCAUUUGCCUAACCUGGAAAGAGUCGUAGGUUAACAAAACAUUUACAACUGUUAAUAAACUAAGAACAAUAGGAGGAAACGUAUUACAUAAAAUAGCAGACAUCCUGAUGGUUAUUUUGAGUUUUAUUCAUUCAUCAGUGGACGUUAGAUUGCCAUAGACUUGACAAACAGAAACCAUCACCACCACUUUUCUUUGUUGAACUUGUCAAAUAAAAUUGGUAUUGCACCAAGGGAAUUCCAGUGCAAUAUUAUUCUAUGAUAACAAAAAUAUAUUUAAGCCGAUAUCAUAUUGAUAACCUGGACAUGCCAAGAUACUCACUUCUUCUUGCUCAAUAUAUCCAGUCUGUCUCAAGUCAUACAGUUUAAAAGAAACUACGAGCAAACCAAUAAAAAAAAGUUAUCAUUUUUAUGAAUAUUUACAGUAUAAAAUAGAUAAUGUAAAAACACAAAUGCAAAGCUCUUGCCGAAGACUUACAGUCAAUUUUCUUUUCCGGAGGAGUACAAGGAUGAAAGAUAUUGAGAGCAUGCACAAACUCCUCAAAUUCUAUAACACCAUUUCUUUUUUCAUCGAAAACAUCAAACACCUAGAAAAUUUUGUAAUCAUUAAAAUGAACUCAAACACACAAUUCAAAGAGGAAAAACAGCAGCAAACAACAGAACUUUCAGAAAAACAAGUAACCAUGACAUUUUUUUAAGGGAGUGAAAUGGGGAGAACACCUGAUACUAUUGGCUAUCUCGUAUAAGGUCAACAAUGUAAAAUUAGAUAUUUAAACACCAGAAAUACGGUUGUCUAUCAUACACCUUUCAAUAUCUCUAUCACACACAUCUACGAUCUUUCAAAGAGUUUUAACCUAAUGACAAGCAAAGCUAGAAAAUAAUAUCAAUUUAUCAUAGCAAUUUAAGACUUUCGUCAGUGUUAACAAUCAUUUACAAAAGGAGGAAAUGACUGGGAAGUAAGAAACUACAAAAGGAAUGAUACAAAAACACAUUAUAGUUGUUGAUCACGCAUCACAUAACAUAAUAGACUAGAAAAAGCAUCUUUAGGUCUAAAACCGUCUGUAAUGUUUCACAGGGGAUUAUGAAGGAGACUUGGAAGGAAAAUAAAGAUUAGAAAGAUGGAUAUAUGGAGCUAUGAAUAUUGUCAUUUAUUUUCCAGCUGAAAUUUGUAUUGAGGCAGCAGCAUUCUAUUUGCCAGUAUAUAUAUAUAAAAAAAAAACACAUCGAGCAUCGAUUAACCAUGUUACUAUGUUAGGGAAACAAACUGGAGCGAAGUUAGUAUAUAGCAACAGGCUAUGAAGUUUUUUGUUCACGACUUAUAAGGGAUGAAAAUUAUUAAACUAGAAAAAUACCGAGUUAGUAGUUGCGUGAACAAAAACAAAGAGGUUUAUGCAUUAGGAAAACAUUUCCACCCUGAUUUCCAUAUGCCACAGGAAAUCAAAGGGUAUGAGCUAUAGUUUGGUCCCCUGAAAGCUGUUUUCUUUGCAAAUCAAAGUUGGAUUUUGACAAAAAUUACAGCCUCUCUUCCAUCAAAAUCCACUGGUUCCUCACCUCCAAACCAAGUAACACUAGGUCUGAAACAAAUCAAGUAAGCAGAAAAGAAAAAAAAAACAGUUGUGAAAAUGCUUAUACCCUGUCAAGGAAAAGAUUCUCCCCAGUUGUGGUCUUCAACAGUGCCAAUGUGAGUUCUUCCUUCACACAACAAACAACCAAGAGUUAAAAUUAAGAUAAACAAAAAUGGACAAACUUAGGAUCAAAGAGACAUUGAUCCCCAAAUCCCAAUCUAGCUACCUACCUACCUACCUUGUGGAUGAGGCCAUCGUCAAUGAUAGAGCUACUCAACUUCUUGAACAACUCAUGCAAAGCCUCAAUCUCAUUAACAGUAACUGCCACACACCAAUCACGAACUUCAAACCACCAUUUUCUUAGCAAAACGAACAAAAACAGCAGAAAACGAAAUUAAAAGAAAAAAAAAAACGAACACGGAGAGUCCUUGGCGAGGGCGAGAAUGUCGUUGAAGGUAGCAGAAGAGGGCUUCUUGUUCUUUGCCGGAGAAUGGAAAUCGAAGCAACCAGUUAAGCUGAAAACCAAAGCUUCAACAAUUCCGAUGAGCGGAAUGCACACCGCACACAGCGUCUCUCCGAACGUCAAGCCCGAUCUCUGACACCAAUCAAUCGCAAACUCAUAAUUCGUUUACACGAUAAUCAAACACAGAUCAAAAUCGGUAGUUCAAAAAAAUUGUGUUACCAGAGAUACACGCGUCUCUUGAAACUCCAUUUCAUCUUCCAAAACUUUUCGCAGAAUUAGAAUCAGAAUUCAAAUAUCUAUGAAUUAUCACAGUAUUUAUCCGUUCAAAAAUAUUUAAUUGUCAUAAAUUUUAAAUGUUUAUUUAUUACUAUUUGAUAUUCAUAUAGACACGAUACUUGUGAGACAUUCAUGAAGUGUCUAAUUAAAAAAGUAUUUGUUGAAUUUUUGACAAUUUUAAUAUGGUUCUAACAUAAUUUUAAAAAGAAAAUAUACAUUAAUUUUUUAAAAACUCAAAUUUAUUGUAUAAUUUUUUUUUAUUAUUAUAAAAAUAAGAAACAAAUUUUUUUGAAUCCGUCAUGAAAAACAUUUUUCUGCUCCAAAAAAUAAUCUGAAAUAUACUUGUGCACAUAAAUCUUUAUUGUCAAUUUAUAUAAUUCAUAAUUAUAUAAUAUAUAGAUUUGUGUCCUACAUUUUAUAUAUUAUAUACAUCUUCGUAUCUGUGUUCGUGUCUUAUCAUAUCUAUAUGCAUAGUAUAAAACAUCAAAAUAUUAAUACUAAUCAUCAUAAAACCUCAAUGUUAAAAUAAGACCACCAAAGGGAUAAUUAACUAUUUAUUAGUGAUUAAUUAUGAACUAUUAAUUAAAUUAGUGACUGGGUUUUAUCCAUGUGCAAUAAGCACUUGACAGAAACCUAAAUUGUGACGUGGGGUUGUCGUUGUCAUCAUGUUUGGUACAAAUAGUUCUUUAUUCAAAGAAUAAUAACAGUUCCAAAAUUUUCUUAUUUAUUAGGGAUUUUUACUAAUUGGUGCAAUUUUAUAUGAAAAUUGUUUUGUCUUAAUUAUCUUAUCUUUUGCAGAUAAAUAGAUAAUUUGACGUGUUAAUGACUAAUAAUAUGAAUGUACAUGUGGAAAGUGUAACGUUUUUUAGUUAUCAUUAAUCAUACAAUAAAUAUUGUAAAAAUCAUAUGACUUUUUUUUAUAGUUUUGGAUACACUAAAAAAUAUUUAAUAUUUCAUUAAUGUUAUAAAAUAGCAAUCCAUAGGAAUUUUUUUUCUUCAAAAUAACAAGACUUAGUUGAUGCAGAUGUGAAAUAAGUUAUUUAAAGGUCAAUGAUUAGUGGAAGACCAUUAAUUAGUCUCUUCAUUAAUCAUUAAGAUUGUUUAAGGUUGAUGCUUUCUGACUCAGCUGCAAUUCUGGUUUCACACGCCAAAGCAGAAUUUUUUUUUUAAAAUGAUUUAUAAUUCAUGUUUAAUACCUUCUAGCUACUAUUUUCCUACUUUUUAUAUGGUAAAAUUUGGUUUUAAAAGUAAAUUUGGUUUUCAUUAAUCAAAAGUAUGAUUACUAAUAAAUACACUAACUAUUUUAAUUGUGAUUAUCUUCCCCUAAGAGAGGUAUUUUUGUUGUUGUCAUUCCUAAAUACACUCAAAAAAUAUCUAAAGUUAAAAAUAUGAUCAUCUUUUAAAUUCUGAAGCAAGUAAACAAGAAACGUAUACGUCUUUUAAGUCAUGAAAGUAAUUUGUGUACUUAAUUAAGCAAUAAAGAAAACACCAAUCAUACAAUUUAGAAUUUUAAGAAAUAAUAUCCAUUGAGUUAUUUUUAUUAUUUAUAUUGACACUCUACAAUUUAAAAUAUAUAGAUGAUUAUGAUAUAAAAUUAGUGAAAAUAUUAAAAAGAAAGAUUUAAACAAUAUUUUGAGAUCAGUUGAAAAAAAUCAAUAGAAAAGUAGUAAAGAAAAAAUACAAAUAGUUAUAUUUUUAAGGACUUAAAAAAUUAUACAUUGGAUUUUAAAUUUUUUUUUAAGAAAAAUAUAUAAUUAAUUGAGAAUUUAUUAUUAACUUAAUUUCAAACUCAUUUUAACUUGAUGGAAGUUAAUCAUAUAAACAAUGAUAUCUUGAUACCAAUUUCAUUCAUUUAAUGAUGUAUAAAACAAAUAGAAAAAUGAUAUUUUGACACCUUUAGAGUUAUAUCAGUGUGAUAAAUUUAGAAAUAAAUAUAUAUAAUAAAGGAUAAAUUUGUAAUUAAAUGAUAUUUUAAUAAUAGUAAUAAAAUUUGUAUUGUGAUUAUAUAAAAAAUUUGAGUUGUAAAUAUAUCAUUAAUGAUAUUAUUUUAUUAUAAUAUUUUAUUCUAAAAACAGUUGUAGAGUGGUUGUUUGGCAAUGCUACCUUCACCCAACACUUUUGAACUUGCAUCCAACAUAAUUUCAAAAAUUCUGAAAAUAUCCUAUAUUCCGAAAAUAUAAAAAUCUGGAAAUGAAAAUAAUGCAUUCUGGAAGAAUAAAUCUGGAAGAGAUUUUUGUGUUUCGGAUAUAAAAUCCGGAAAAAAAAAAAUCAAAAUCUCAUUCCGGAUAAAAAAAUCCAAAACUGAAAAUAAUACAUUCCGAAAAAAAUUAUCCAAAAGAGAUUAUUGUAUUCUGGAAAAGGGGAUCCGGAAUGUAAUUUUAUAUAUACCCCAUUUUUUUAAGGGUAUUUUCGGUUUUUCCCUUGAUUGUGAUUGGGUGCAAUGAUAUGAUGCAAGAAGCAAUUGCCUAGUUGUUUUUUUAUGGUUAAAAGUGUUGAAGAAACUUUAUUCUAAUGAUAUAUGCAUCAUUACUUGUACAUUUUACAAACAAAUUAACCUAUGACAAGCAUUUGUGGUUGACACCAGCUCAUGUACAAGGCUGAACAAGGCUUCUGUUUUUUCAUAUUUAUUAGAACACUAGUUUGUUUGUGUUCUCAUAACUCAAACUUAUAUCUAAGUGGUGAAGAUAGGGGGCAAUAUUUUGGACCUUUUGCCUUUGACAAGAGAAUUUGUAUCAGGGAAAUGAACUCCAUCAGUGAGGUCCUUCACAUACCCUUCUGGUGUUACUCUCACAGGGUAACUCACAAGGUGCACACCUUCCAUGUCUCUAAUUUCUUCACUGCUGUACAUUUCCCACAUUUCAUCUCCUAUUGAUCUCAUUCUCUCCACACAUUCCAAUCUCUCUGGCUCCAACAACAGUUCAUCAACACUCAUUGUGUGCUCAUACCAUAGAGACAUUCUAUAUGCUUGAAUAUCAUCUAGGCUCAUUUGGUGCUUAUCAUCAUCAUCUCCAUCUUGAGACUGGUAGCAUCCUAUUGCAAUCUCAGUGUCCCUUUCUCCAUCCAUCGAUCUUUGGUUCACAUUAGCUGAUCCUAUCAAUAUGUAUAGGUCGUCCACUAGUGCCACAUGCAAUGAAACAAUAUUAGUAAAACUUAGAUCCCAAUUCAACAAACACUUCAAUUACUUGGAUGUUUUUCCUUUUAUGUAUACAAUGUGCAAAUGUCAAUCCAAAUAAGCACUUGUGCAUUCUAUAUGUGAUUGAUCAUUUUAAAAAAAAUUCUUUGGCUCAACUGAAAGUCUGGUCUUGGGUUACUUCCAAAGUUCCUUAUGCUGGUUUUUCCUUUUCAGAUUGGUGUCUUGAUCCUUUGGUUUGUAUGUUUUCGAUUCAAAACAAAUGAUUUUGUGGUAGAUUGGAUUGGUGAUUUCUUCUACGAUUUGUGAGGGGCUGUUGUUAUUGUUUGGACUUGUGUGAACUUUCUGUUCAAGAUGUAUAAGGGUUAAACCACCCGUGAAAUGAUUUCUUUUUUUUCUGAUAAAAAAAAAACAGUGCAAAUAUAAAAUAGUUAGAUGUCUAACCAGCACGUGACUAGAAAAAUUAUAUCAGAAGCAUAUGUUGAAAAUGGUGUAGUAGAGAUGACUUCAAAAAGUUGAGACUUACAAGUCAAUUAAUGACCCUUGUCUUUACAUAUCUAAAAGGACAAAACUUAACACAAUUUCAUAAAUGUUUUCAGUGUUGCUCUUCUUCAAUGCAGAACUAAAGUUUCUUUUGGUUAAUUUAUGUUGAUCUUUAAUGCAAAUUUUAAGCAUGUGGAUUGUAACAGUGAAAACUCCAAUCAAAUAUGUAAAGAAAAGACCAAAAAAAUCACAAAGAAAAUUAUAACUGAAGAAUGGUUCAAUAUGUUUACCUAUCAUGAACUUGGAGUGAACAUAAACCAUGAAUCUCCUAUUCUUUUGAGCAUUCCAGUAUUGUGUUUCAGGUUUGGGUGAAUCUAGAGGAAGAUACUCCCCUGGUCCCUUCUGCUCUCUGUUUGCAAGACAGAAGAAAUUCAAGUAGUCUCUAGGGUGUCCUGGUUGUCUACUUUCUUGUAAUGCUUCUCCAAUCAACCUAUACAUCAUUGCCAUUGUUUCUCUAGUCCAAUGCAGUAUAUCUUGAACAGGUUCACUUUCAGGCUCUCCUUCUGGCCACAUUGGUAUGACUAUGUACACAGCAAAUCUCUCCUUUGCCUUAAUCUUGCUUACCACCUUCAGUGCAAUUUCAAUGGGAAUCAGAUUAGUGCGGCCACAGUGCCUAUCUUUCUUCCACCAAUGGCAGCCCCCAAUGAAAUAUUGGCUUUCAAUGUAUAUAAACCUUUCAGCACGCCUAAUUGCUUCAACAUAAGCUUCAUGGAUGCUCCUCUCCACAGUUGACUUUGUAGACAACUCACCAACUGAGAUAUGGUCAAUUGACCUGUAUAUUUGAACUUUCCAAUUCCUCUCCGUAGGAGUGCUUGAGCUUGUUCUAGGCAUAAGAUUUGCCAAGGUGCUAGAAGGGAUUAGAAAAGAAGGAUCACAUUGCUUUGUCCAUCUUUGCUCAAAAUUUGUUAACACAUCCCAAGCAGCCUCACCAGUAACACAGGCAUGAGCAUCAUGCCAAGGUGCUCUUGGUCCUCCUUUGUUGAGGCUAGCUUCUUCAAUGCUUGUUUGGUAGAAGUCAUAGCAAUGAGAUUCCCUCAUGAGUGUUUGAAACAAUGAAUGCUGCUCUGUGUCAUAUCUUCCAUCACACAAAUCCAACCCUCCCACAAAGCUCAUAAGCUCUCUGUCAUCAACAGAUUUUGGUGCUUUUGUGUCCACUGUUAUAGUCUUCUGAUGGUGAGCAAAGAGUGUGGGGAACAUAUGGUGUAAUCUUGGACACUUUCUGCAUAUCACUUUUGUGUGGUUGAAAAAGGCAAAAGCUUCCUCAUCUUGGUUGUUCAAUUCACCUUUGUUCUUAACAAAGGGUAAAGAUGUUUCAUCAUCCCAAAGCAUAACCCUCACAGCCACUCCUUCCUCUGCCUUCUUCUUUAAUAUGUCACCUAACUUAACUCCUCUGGCAUGUGGGAUUUCUGUGUGAGGAUCUCUAACCUGCCAAUGAGCAUAUUAGCUUCUAAAACAAAAUGUAUAUCAAUGUGAGGAUCCUCUCAUUUACAUGAUGCCAUGUUCAAAUUUUGUGACUCUCUCCCCAUAAAUACUAAAUAAGCCUUACCUAUUAAAAUACUCACAAAUUAUUUACCAACAAAUUCUUAUGUCAACAAUGAAAUUUGAACUCACAUCAUCAUUGGAUGAGUUUUAUCCUUACUAACUUGACCAACUUGCCAUAUAAGUUUAAAAGUCAUGUAAGAGUUUAGCACAAGAAGAUCCAUUACACUCUAAAAGAAAAAGCAUGAAAGGACAUUUCAUUACCAGAACCAUCAUGGGAUUGAAGAACCAUCCUGCAAUAUAAACUAAGUACUUUGCACCCUCAAUGGCUUUAUAGACAUCCUCCCAUAGCUUAUUUGGAGCUCCACAUAGAUCAAAGGGAGGUUGAAAAGCUGAAGAAUGGUGAGCAUCAUGAUAAAGUUUAACCUGACAAUUGGACCUUAGUGGGAAGCUAGCCUCCUUCAGCCCUUGAAAUUCCCAGUCAUUGCUCAACAUCUUUGCCCAACUUGGUUCCAAAUCUGCUGGCUUGAACCAUAGCAUAAACUUCAAUUUAAGUUUUGGGUUUGGUUUUCCAUUAUCCAUGAGGAGAGGGAAUAACCCGUUGAUCAAACCUCCUUUCUUCAAUAGCUGCUGAGCCUGAAUAUGGAACUUUCCCAAUAUGGAAGAACGUGAUGUUUUCAGUGUAAUGGUGAUGCAUGAAUCAGCUGGAUGAGCACAUUGAAUCUGAAAGGUUUGGUUCCACACACGGUUGCUUUCUUCACUUGUUUCUGCAAACUUCUGGUUGUCUAUCUUUAUAGUCACAUAAGCAGGCUUUCCAUUUGUACAUAAGCACUGAAAACAAGAAAAACACUGAAAACAAAACAGAAAAUUUAUAAGAACAAUGCAGAAUUUUCUUAGUACCUGCAUGCACACUGAACACUUAUAUAUGUUUUUUUUAUACAAAGAAUAAAGAAAAUAAAAUAAGAUACUUCAGAUGUCCAAACCCUUAUGCAAAUAAUCCCGACACAAGCUUCUUAUCCCCAACCAACUGGGGAUCCCAUAAACAUUACAACACAUUAACUACAUUAACAUACCAUAACAAGAGUACAUCAAUAUACAAUUACAUCAACCUGCGAAAGAACACAUUCUCAAGACAAGACACAAAAAGUCCAACAACUAAACUCAGUCUUCUUUAUAAGCAAACAAAAGUAAACCAAACACCCAAGAUGAACACUUAUAUAUGUACACAGCUGAAAUAACAUUUGUGUAAAUGUAUGUGUUAGUGGAACUUACUUUGAAGGGAAGUAAAGGUGAGUAAGGUGAGGCAUUGAAGAUGGUAGCUUCAAUUGUUCCAUGGAGGAGCUUAGGAGUUUCCUCCACAACUGUAAUACUUAAAUUAUUCAUAAGAAAGAAAGAGACAGAGAACUAUGGAGUUUGGUUUAACAUACGAUGGAUUUCAUGCCAAUUUUCAACAACUAAUUGUUAUGUUACAUUUAUAUAGGUGAGUGAGUUUACUAUUGCAGAUGAAGAAACAAAGGGAACCUUGGAAUGUAAUUGAAAGUGGGAAAACUUGUCAAACUUUGCAUUUAUGUAGACACAAUCCAAGCUUCAAGUAUUUGCCAUCACAAGUUUUAGCUUGAAGCUAAGUUUCUUGAACCAAAAUCUAAAUUUACCGUAAUCAGAAAGCAGUUAAGUACACAACAAAAUACAGUUAUCCAUUGUUCUUAGUACAUUGACUGCAUCAUAUAGUGAUCAAUCAACAGAUAUGUGAUUAGGAAAAUUCACAUAAACAUUUACACAUCAAAUGGAUAAGUUGGUGAAGGGCCUAGUGGAAGUGACACUCUGUUAACAGAAUGAUUCUAGAGUUCAAGGAACUUGGAGAAAAAGAAAGUGAAGUUUGUCCUUAUGUCAUAUCACCAUGCUUUGGCAUAUAUCUACCACAGACCAAAGAAACUGAGUUGCAUGUAUAUUACGUAUUGUCUGUGGGUUGUUAGAAGGAAACAUAACAUGGGUAUGUUUAGCAUUACCUAACGCAUAAGCUACUUCAAAAUUAAAGAAUUAAUCACAAGUUAAAAACUAUGCUCAAAAGCUGGAUUCAUUCCAUUAGAACUCCAUAAAAGUUGAAUUUCUGAUUUUACUCUUAAUAAAUAAACAUGUAUUAUGAAUUAUGUAUUUCAGAAUGUAUUUUCAGAUAAAAAAAUAUAUUCUAGAAUGUACAAUACAGAAUACAUUUCCUAAUCUAGAAAUCUGAAAUAUGCAUUUCCAAAUAAGAAAAUACAUUCUGAAUAUGCAUUGCGAAAUAUAUUAAUACAUUUUGAAUUUAAAUUUCAAAAUAUAAAAAAAAAAGUUUAAAAUAAAUUUUGGAUCGUACUUAGAAAUAUUUUUGGAUCAUCACCCCAUCCAGAAUUGUGUUUAUAAAUCUGAAUUGGGGAUGUUUUUAACAUUUUACCAUCACAUGGGGUACAACUUCAAACAAUGGGGGUGCAAAAGGAAAUGACCUUGUUAAAGAUAUUAACUCUCUGUCCAAGUCCAACCUUCAUAGCCAUAUCUACCUAAAGCCUACUAUGUUUUUCUUUUUUAAUUUUAGAGUAUUUCUCCAUGCACCCCCAUCAAAUGAUUUCCCUAUACCAAUAGUUCUUUUAGUUUAUAAAAUGGUCUUUAAUAUAAUCAAAUAGUAACUAAUUAUUUUGGUCUCUAAAAUUAGUUUUUAUUUAAUAAUUUUCUUGUAGUAAUAUCUUUAAUCUUCGAUUUCAAAAUUUCCAAUCACCUAUUAUAAAAAAUACCUAUAAGUAUUCGUUCUUUAUCUAGCUGUUGCCUUCAGAAGUAAUUUGUCUCCCCUAUAGAGUUUUCAUGAUCUUGUAACUGAUUGGUGUUAGGAAAAGCUAUUAUAAGUUAUGCAUGACUUGUUAUAAUGAAAAAAAAAAGAAUGAGUUUAUCUUUUAUCAGUAUGUUGUGCUUUAACAUUAUGCUUGUUCCUUCACAUUGAAAAUGAAUUAGAGAUAAUGAUAUCCUUUGAAGGUUUGUUCAAGGUUUUUUUUCUUUUAUUCAAAAUUAAAUUUUAGAGUUUAAAGUUUAGGAUUUAGCGUGGUUAAAAAUUUAAGGCAGUGUGAAUCUCACUUAUAGGACAUGCGAAAGUUGUAAGCAAAAUAUUGGAGAAAAAGUCCAUUUCAAAUUUUGUAGCUCAUUGAACUCUUGAUGGAAAGCACAUCCUUAUGCAAGCAUGUCUUUUUGUUCUCAUAGCACCAAUCUAAAUCCAACAAUAGAUAUUAGUAAUUACUUAUUCAGUUUUACUAUUUAUGAUUGCAAAGUAUCCUUAUCUUGACUUGAAGUAUCAGAGAAGAGAAGCAGAAGCUUUCUUCCCACUUAUAACAGCCACAAUUUAAAUACCAAUCAAUGGUUAAUCUGAACCCUUAAUUUGACCUCCCAAGAGGAACAUAUUAACCAAUGUUGGGAUGAACAUAGAGACCAAUAGUGUAGCAAAGAAAAGAAAACUCUAGGGUGAUUAGCUGCAUAAUACACUUGAUCAAAUGGGUCACAAGUGAACAAACUAGGAUCAAUGUAUAGAGUUUAAAUGGUAUGUGAACGGGUCAUGCGGAAAGUCUUUACGUCGAGAGGUCGGAAAGUCGAAAGAAGUAAAGUACAAGUGUUAGUGAAAAUAUUACGUGGAAGUGUCAGUGUUAAUAAGAGACACGUAUAAAAGAUUAAUUAAGUGUUGAAAAUCAAUUAAUAAAAGAUUAAAAUGAUGUGACAGACUCAAUAGGUCCAUUAACAAAUAAUAUAAAUAGAUAAAAUGUUUAGUUCAGUUUUUUUUGUUUUUCUGUGGAGUAAUUAACACAAAUACUAACUUAAAUUUCGGAGUGUUCCUGCAAGUACCACACCACAUAUCAAGAACUCAGAAGGUACUUCUAUAAACACAAGUGACCGAGAGAAGAGGUACGAACAAAGAAAAAAAAAAAGACCGAAAAGACAAAGUGAAGACGGAUUCUGAAGACACUCUCCUCCAUAUAAUUAAUACUAGUACAUUAUGAAAUAUAAUAUGCCUAUGCAACAAACUUGGAGUUUAAAUUGUCUUAUGAUUUUGUACUAUGUUCUUAUGGUUUCAGACAUUUUUGUUUAAAAGUUACACAUUAUUUUUCUUUGGGUCUGUGCAGAACAAUCCCCUGUCAUCUCUUUUGAUGAAUAACCAAGAUAAAAGAAAAUUGCACAAACUAAUCUAAAUCACGUAAUUUAUUAGAAAUUAUGCUUUGCUUUAUUCAAAAGUGUAAAAGUUUUGUUGUUUUUUUUUUCAAAACUUCAAAGCAAUUAAUUGUUACCAUCAAGAACUAUAUUUUAACAAAAGUGCGAAGAGAUUGGUGUGAAGCUAGAUGCAAUAAUAAAUAUCACAGAAAACCAAAAGAAAAGGCAAAAGAUCUUGACAACUUUGUUGGAGAUGAGAUUCCAACAUGGACACACUGGCCUGGACCUUUCUUAAGUCGUUAAUAGCUUGUCGUGGCGUUCAUGAUUUGCCGUCCCUUUUCCCUACAGAGUGGACUGUGGUCUGAAUUAUUCACUCUAUGCUCCAACUUAUGAUUAUCCUUUUACAUGCUUUGUUGGAAGUGUGGAUCCUUCCACUCAUAAAAUAACCUUAAUGAUAUUUUGAAAACUUGCUAAAUAUACAAUCUGUGAUUAAUGAUAUGAACAGAGAUUAUCUUCGUUAUUUCAUAAACUGAUGUAAGUUUUAGACAGAGAAAUAAGGUUCUAGACUGAUGUAAGUUGUGAAUAAAAUAAAAACAUACCUCAAUUUUUGUAUCCCACUUUUAGUCUCUGUCAUGUGCAAUACUACAAAUACAAAACAACAACAACAACUUGGUUUUACAUGAAACAUGGACUUCAAAAAUAUGAUAAUGUUUCUCACCUCUUUCUGUCCUCUCUUCUUUACUUCUUGUUUCAAUUCAAAAUUGGUAUCAGAACCAUGCAUGUUUGAUAAAACUAUUCUGUGUUUUUACAUUCUUCAACCACCCAACUUUCAUCACACUUCACCUCUCCAAAGUUAAAUAUCUGCUAACAAAGUGUAACCAUUGAAGUGCAAGAUUAGAUUUCUCACCUCACGUUACAAACAAGGAAGAAACUAACACUAACCUUCUUCCAAAUAACAAUGUCUUCACUCCUUUGGAACCUACACCAUCCUCCACCCUUUUUGUCAAUCAUAAACUUGGACUCACCCACAACCAAAUGCAAAUCCACUAGCUCAAACCAAACUCACAUCAAAUGAUACACCCAAUCACCCCAUAAUAAUUCACCCAAUCUUAAGAAAAACAUCAACAAAGUCACAAAUCAGUAGGACCCAACCCCUCCUAUAAUUAUCAAACCCCAGAUACCAUUUCUCAGUGUCACUCACAAAACCAUAUUACCCUUUUCUUCUCAAAGGUUAUAAAUGGUGGAAAACCCUAAGAGCUAAGAAAAGGAACAACCUUGAACUGAAACAUGACAACAACCUACGGCACGAUUCCGACCUCGGGGCCUCCGAACCUGGAAUACAUAUCGCGUGCCAAGCAGCGGAUCAAGGCGGGGUUGGGGACAAGGCGGCCGUGGAAGGCCAUGCUGAACUUCCGGUCGCUGAAGAUCCCCGGUGGCGGCGCGGCGGAGGCGCUGUCGCGCGUGGCGGUGAACGUGUCGUACUUCCGCAUGAACUACGCGAUGGUGGCGCUGCUGAUUCUCUUCCUGAGCCUCCUCUGGCACCCCAUCUCGCUCAUCGUCUUCCUCCUCCUCAUGGCGGCAUGGCUCUUCCUCUACUUCCUCCGUGACGAGCCCCUCGUCCUGCUCGGCCACCUCGUCGACGACCGCCUCGUGCUCGUCGCCAUGGCCGUCCUCACGGUGGCGCUGCUGCUGCUCACAGACGCCACCGUCAACAUUCUCGGGGCCGUGGCGGUCGCCGUGGUGGCGGUGGUGGCGCACGCCGCAUUCCGGAGGACGGAGGAUCUGUUCUUGGGGGAAGAAGAAGAAGCUGCGGCGGCGGCCUUGGCCGGUGCUGCCUGAUUCAUUGUUUUCUGUAUAAUUUUUUUGUUGAAUUUGGAGAAAGAAAAUGGUUAUUUGAUUUGAUUUGGUUCGGUUUUAUCGUUUGUUGUUAUAUUUUUUUGGAAGAUGAUGCCACUUGCAUCCCUUUUUUUCCCCUGUUUUCAUACUCUGUUCUAACUUUGGUGUUCUGAUUUUUAGCAUCUAAAUGGGUUUAACUGAAAUAUGAAAUUGGUGUUUGGGAGGGAAAUUAACACUUUAAAUAAUGUAAGUUUUAAUCCUUUUUUUUCCUUAAUUAUUUUUUCUAUUGUUUAAUUUUUUUCUACAAUUUUAUCUUUGCAUUAAUAAAAUAUUCAAUUUAUUAUAGAAGAAUGAAACUUUGGUAACUUAUUGAUUGUCUACUAAGAAAUAAGUUAAUUGGAUUUUGAUGAAUUUUCACUCUCUAAAAUAAUCAUAGUUUCAAAGGUUUUAAAAAUUUAAGAGAACAUUUAAAUAUCAUCAAAAUAAUUAUGUUUUCACUUAGAAUUCAUUUUUCAGUAUAACAUCAAUAUAAUAAUCUAUAUUAUGUCUCAACAAGUUGUUUUUCACCAUUUUUAUUUUGAUAGCAAGUUAAUUUAUUAAAACUAAAGAUAAUUUAUUAUCAUUAGUAUAUAAGAUGUUACAAUAAGUGAUUAAUCAAUUAUUUUAGUGGUAGAUGAUACAACUCACAUUUAAUUAAUUAAGUCAUCAUAUACUCAAUUGUCAUAAGUAUUAAUCUUUUAAAUAUUUUAAUUUGCAUGUUUACAUUAUUUCUGAUUUAUUCACACUAUGAAAGUUUAGAAAAAACCAAAUUGACUAAAUAUUUUAGACUCUUGAUCAUCUUUAAAAAGGGAAAUUAUUGAUCAAAUUAAUUAAGAUCUUGAAGAAUGAAGAUUAUUUUCUCUAAGAUAUGUUUUGAUGAUGAAUCUGCAAUAUUAAAUGUUUAUAGUUUUUGUAAUGUGUGUGGAUCACAUGGUAAGACAUUUUAUCUUAGAAUAAGAAGCAUGAUCAUCAUUUGUCUAAAUUUCUUUAAGACUUUUUUUAAAAAUAUCUAUUAAUUGAUUAUCAUUUAACAUAAUCAAUUAUAUUAAGUAGCUUAAUUUAUUAUCUUUAGAAAUAACUUAAUGUCAUUUAAAAAAAUAUUUUCUAAACAAUCAAUUAUCUUUUAUAUAUCAAUUGUCUCAUGUCUUAGGUUCCACAAUUAAUCGAUUAAAUGAAAAGUAAUUGGUUAGAUUGUUCCAAUGUUGUUAAACAACCUAAAACAAUAUAAUUGAUCAACUCUAAACAUAAUGGAUUAAGUAUUUUUCUAAUUUUUUUUUUAUAAAUAAUUUUCAAAAUUCUCUUGAAUAGUAAUCAAUUAUUUAUUGUAAUAUUUAUUUCAUAGUUCCAAAAAACAAAUUAAAACCUUUCUUAUUUCAUAUAUUUUGAAAAAACUCAUUAAUAAAGACUAAUAUAUGUAAAUUUUAUAAUUUUCUCUAUAAUCUUAAUCUUGGAAUACUCAUAUCUAUGUAUAGAUAUGUAAUAUCUUUUUCAUUAUACUUUGUGCUUAUGUUAUACCUUAAUGUAAAGUGUUUUUUUAGUUAGUAUCCAUUUAGAGUUUUUAAGAAGUUUUUUGGUAUAUAUAUUGUACCUUACAUUAUCAAUCACUCUCUUAGCACAAAGAUCAACUAGAGUUGGUAUCUUUGGUGUACAAAAUUCAUCUUUUUUCAUCAUAAUAUCACUGUUCAUCAAGAAAGCAACCAAGAUGAUUUAAAAUAUUUUUUUUCUAGUUUUAGUUUUGCACUUGGUGAUUAUUUACAUCUUUUAUUUUAGAAAUCAAAUUAAUAACAAACUAAAUCUUGAUUUGAUAAUUAAAUAUGGACUAAUUGAAUGAUAUUUUGAUUUUAUUUGUAUAAUUAAUUUAAUUGAUUAAUUAUUGCAACUUAAAUAUGAAUCUUUAAAUAAUUGUAAUAUGAGUAACUUUUGUUUUUUUUUGUUUCUAAUAUAAGAAUUCACUUUUUAAUUUUCUUCAUUUUUGUUUUUCAAUCUAUUUUUAAUUCAAUUUUUGUACAUUUCUAUUUCUACAUCCCUAAACUCCAUCAUCCUUAAUUUCAACAAUUGAAAAUCAAUUACCAAAAUUAAUUUAUCAAUUUAUUAUUAAAAACUCUAAUUGGAUUGCUUGAUUCAAUUUGUAAGAUACUUAAAAAAAUGAGAUAUUUGAAUUCAAGAUUUUAUAUUUAUUUUUUAUUUAAUAUAAAAUAUAUAUUUUUUCAUAAUUUGUGUUAUUUUAUUACUAAAAUCUUAUAUAAUAUUAGAAAUAUAAAUUAAUUUAGCAUAAUUAAAACCAUGGUUGAAGUUGGUUGGAUAAAUAUUUAUCAUUUUAAUGAAUUGUCUAGUUUAAAAACAUUGAGUUCAUCAAUUAACCAUUAAUUUAUGUAAAAAAAAUCUGGUUAAAAAAUUAGAUAAAAAAAAAGAAAAGAAAAGCAAAAGUAAGUAACUUUUGAUCAGAGCCAGGUUUCGAUCCUGGACCUGUGGGUUAUGGGCCCACCAUGCUUCCGUUGUGCCACUCUGAUGGAUUGAUCAAUUUUGUCUUUCCAUAUAAGUAUACAUUCUAAAUUCAAAAUUGUUUCUUAGACUUUACAUUUUUCUUAUAAAUAAUUUUAUGUAAUAUUAACCUUUAAUUGAGAUUAUUUCACUUUGAAUAUGUUAAAAAAACACUAUUUAUGUUGGCAAAAAAUAAAUACACUAUUUAUAAAAAAAAUAUAAUUUUAAAAAUUUGCGUAAAACUAAAUUAAUUUUUUAUAUUUUUAUUUUAAAAUAGUAAAACUUAAAGAGAAAUUGUAGUGAAAUUAAAUUUCAAAAAUAUCUAUCUAUCUCUAUAUAUAAAGAGGAUUCCCCUUAGAACACAUUUACAUUUUCAUUUUAUCCUUAUACUAAUAUUUUAUUUUAUUAUUUUAAAAACAUAUAAUAAGAUUUUUUUUUGCAUUUUAUUGUUAUAUUGGAUAUUUUCGUCAUUUUUUUUUUUUAGUAUUUAUUUUUAUUUUAACAACUUCUCACUUCUCUCUCUAUAAAAAAAACUUAUCAGUUACACUAUUUAACUAUCUCAAGUUUCACUCCCUCCUCUCAUAUUAGGAGAACUCAAAACUCCCAGCAUUGCAAACCCACAAAAAAAUAUUUGCAAUGCAUGAAUUCAUAUUGUUUGAUCUUUGUCAUAAGACUUUUGCCUUUUGUAUUUGUGGGUGACUUCACUGGUGCAAUAUCCAACCAGUAAGUGUGUUUGGAAACCUAAAAUUCUAGAAUAAGCAAAAAAUGAAACCUAAAAUUCUAGAAUAAGCAAAAAGUGAAACCUAAAAUUCUAGAGUAAGCAAAAGUUUAGAGACUGAUGGCAAAACACUUCAUUCAUUCUUUUUUUUUUUUUACCAAUCUUCAAUUAAUUUGUUUUUUUUAUUAUUAAUAGUUCGACAUAAAAUGCAUAAUUGUAUUGGAUUAAUCUAGAGGAAAAUAGUUGUCAUCAUCAAGCACAUGAAGUUUGAUCCCUUAGUUGAAUUUGGAUGAGUGACUCUUCAUCCAACAAGCUCUCUUCUCCAAUUCCUCUCUCUCUUAUCAAACGAGUAAGUUUUUCAAUUUAUUUUUCAUAAGACACUACAACUUUAAAUCUAACCAUAUUUUGUUUUAUGCGUUUCAGAUUUGCAACAAUUUUGAAAAGAAUUUAAGCUUAUUUACAUGUUUUAUGUUUUGUUUCCAGGCUUAUUGGAUACGAAGGUGUAGAAGUCAUUAAUCUAAAGGAUAAAUAAGAGGUAGAGAAAGAAGCACAAAAAAGAAGAUGAAAACAAAAGGUGUUUAUUGUUUUAUGUUUUCCCUUUGACUUUUUUAUGUAAAGGAAAAAAAUAGUUAUUGAAAGAUGAUGUAAUGAUAUAUUAGUUUGAAUAUAACAUUAAUGAUGAUACUAACAAUUAUUAAAAUACAUAAAAAUAUCAAAUAAUUAGUGUUUAACCUUAAUUUAAUUACAUCUCAAAACAUCAAAAUAUUAAAGAAUAAAGAUAACAUUUAACCUUAUUUUUAUCACUAUAGAAGUAAUUUAUCAAUUUUAUUAUAGAACUUUUUUUUUCUUUUCUAUUUAUUUAUAAUUUUUUUCCUUUUUAAUUUUCUAUAUUAAAAUUAUAACACUAUAUAAAUCUAAUUAUUUACUUAAUUAAUAUCAUUCAUAAUAAAUUAUUUAUUUUGUAAAGAUAAUAAAAAACAGUACAUCGAUUUGGAGAAAGAGAAGAACGCAGAGCAACACACUGACACUUUUCUUUUCCCUUUCCGUUUCGUCCGUACAAAACAAGAGCUACCACCACCGGCGGUUUCCUCCGUCAACAUCUUCGCAGACUUCACCGGCGUCCACCAUUGCCGCCGAAUACGACGGCGCGUAUGGCUCAGCCGCCCUUCGAUCCGUACUACAUGUACCAACAAGAUGAUCGGAGCAACAUCAACACGCUCUUCGUGUCGGGGCUCCCGGACGACGUGAAGGCGCGUGAGAUUCACAACCUCUUUCGCCGCCGCCCCGGCUUCGACUCUUGCCAACUCAAGUACACCGGCCGCGCCAACCAGGUACCGCCCCUUCUCCCUUUCUUUCUCCUCAAUUGUGCCUAUCUACUCAUAACUGAUGCAUUCAAAGUUGGCAUUCGCGUGAAUUUUUUAUAUGUUGUGGAAUCAAAAUUCGCUUUCCUUUUCAGGUCGUGGCGUUUGCCACAUUUUUCAACCACCAAUCGGCAAUGGCAGCGCUGCACGCCUUGAAUGUGAGUACAUGGCUUCGAAUGGCGUGAUCCAUGAUGAACGUUAGGGCUAGGAAUUUAUCUCGUGUUUGGAUAAACUUCUGCAUGAACACCUAGGAGAGAAAGAAAAAUUAAAUUAACUUAUCCUAUCAAAGAAGUUUAUGUAGAAGUUAGUUUGUAGAAGCUCGUUAGUUUAAACUAUGCACAAGCUGCUUGAGAAACUUAAUUUAUUUUUAGUUUCCUGUAAGUUCUUAUGGAAAUUUUUUAAUCAGCGAUGAUAGCUUGAUUUGAUGAUGAUAAAGUUACUUGUUUAAAUUUUGUUCCUUGGAGUGAACAUUUUGGUAUCAGCUUCUCUAUUUGGACUAAAUGUAAAUUGCAGUAUGCUCAUGCACAUGCAUAAAUGGGAAAUCCUGCAAGUUAGUUCGAUUUUUUAUAUUGUGAAAAGAAAUUGAGUAUAUUUUAUUGUGAAGAUGUUUGCAGUUAAUAGAAAUUGGUCUUCUAUUUAAGUUCUCUUUUGGUUGAUGAUUCUCACCAGGGUGUGAAAUUUGAUCCUCAAACUGGAUCUGUUUUGCAUAUUGAACUAGCCAGGUCAAACUCUAGGAGAAAGCGAAAACCAGGUAUGUACGUGUGUAUAUUAUGCAUGCAUGACUAGGGUUAAAUAGAAAAGGAGGAAUGGAAAAAAUUAAAGUAUCCACUAGCUAAUAUGUAGCAUCUUCAUCUAGACAUCUACUCAUUUUUUUCGCUUUCAUUCUUUCUAGAAACUAUUCUUCAAUUUCAAUUUUCCACCAAUAUAUGUAUCUUUAUGUAUCUCUUUUGAACUCGGGAGGAAUUUUGUUUGUUUUACUUUUAUGGUUUAAUCUGAAUGCCUUUUACUGGACUUUUACUUUUCAUAGGCAGUGGAGCCUAUGUGGUUAUAGAUAAAAGGACCAAAGGGGAGCUUGAUGUUCAUGGAUCAUCAAGUGAUGAUGGUAAUGCUACUUUACUGAGUUCAAGGCAAAGUGUGUGUACUGUAUUCUAAAAUGUGAUCUAGCUUGCUGUUAUUGUCUUGUUUGCACCCAUAGUUAAGUUUGAGUGAGAUUAGAAAGGGAAAAAGGGAGAGGUGAAGCACAAUGAACUUAGGUUCUGUAUUCUUGCCCCUCUUGUUUCUGUGUCUCAUUCUCACCUGCACAUCUUUCACAUUUAGGUGACAGUGACCCUGAUGAGCCAUCAGACAGUGACGGCAACCAUGGUGAUUUAUCAAUCAUAGCAAGGUUGAGAGUACAAUAAAUUUGAACAACUUUUUACCUCUGUUCAAAAUUUUGCAAAUUAUUUCUGCAAACAAAAGAUGAUGAUAAAUAUACUAGUACAGUAGUACUUUGAUAUUGUGGUGGGACGCCAAGUCUAUAAUAUUCUCUUUUUGUAUGCAGUGAUGAGACGGCUGUUGGUUCGGACAAUCCUAUACCCGUGGUAAGUUUAAGUGAAUAACAGAAAUAAGUUGGAACUCUCCUGCUUACUACAUUAGUAGAAACCAUCCAAUAUUGUUUUCUGCUUUAAAUGCAGCACAUAGAAUUCACGUCAUAUUCUUCUGUCUCAACAAAUAGAUUAAAAUUUGUGUAGUUUGUAAAAGGUGUUGCUUGCUUUUUCCCAUAAAGAAUUUUUGUAUAAUGCAAUCUUUUCAAAUUGGGUGUAGGAGCAACAUGAAAAGGGCAGUUCCGGUGGACUGUGUUCCACUCUCUUUAUCGCAAAUCUUGGCCCAAACUGCACUGAAGAUGAAUUAAAGCAGGCUUUUGCUGCGUGAGUUGCUCCUUCUCUCUUGUUGAUGAACCUGCUAAAGGCCUCUGGUGUUGUUAUUUAGAUUGGAGCAGUGCUGAACAAGCUGAUUCUUUAGACCCUGCAAUGUUUUCCAUCUACUUGGUGUUCAUCAUUAAACUUAAUGUCUUCAAUCCAUUUUUCCAGAUAUGCUGGAUUCAACAUGGUCAAAAUGCGCUCUAGAGGAGGAAUGCCAGUUGCAUUUGCUGAUUUUGAGGUAAGUUACGGUUCUGGCAGGAAACCACAGGUGUCAUUGUUUGGGCUCUUCAUUGCUUUGCCAACAGAGUAUAUUUGAGCAUGCCAUAUCUGUUAGGGAAUGCUAGCAUCAUACUAUUCUUUGAUUGACUAAAAUUGAUUGGAAAUCACAAAUUUGUGUGGGUUUCACUUGUUAUUUAAUGAUUAUUUCUCUUAAUUUUGUAAUUUUAAGUUAAUCUUAACUAAUAAUAGUUUUGGUAGAAACGAUGUGUUAAAGAGUGUCUCUCCAGCACAGUUUAUCUUUGAAAUAACCUUGUCCUGGAUUGUUACUCAUUUAUUGAUUAUCUUGACAACCUUCCAUCUUUUCACAGGAAAUUGAUCAAGCUGCUAAGGUCGUGGAGGAGCUUCAGGGAAGUUUGCUUUCAUCAUCAGAUCGGGGUGGCAUGCAUAUAGAGUAUCCUCUAACCUAAUGACUUCUAUUAAUUUUUAUUCUGCUAUGAUUGGAUGGUUCAUCUUUCUAAUUUACUCUUUUUUUUUUAUCUGUGCUCUCUAGAUACGCAAGGUCUAAAAUGAGGAAGCAUUAGGGAAAACAAUUAGAGGUAAAACAGUUACCGUAUGAUUUGUUUUUUUUUUUUCGAUAUAAAGCAGUUGCAACGUGUUAAGGGAAGAUUGGGAAUGAACAUGUAAUGGGUUGGAGUUAAAGUUUUGGCAGUUGGUAUAGAAGCUUGCAAAACAUAUUAACCAUUAUGCACUUCAUUUUCUGCUUAGAUGCGACAAACUCGGGGUGCUCAUUCAUCGUAUAUCUGCUUCUGUCAAAGCUAUGGCAACGAUUGGAUGGAAUUACCAUAUUUCUUUAAUUGGGUUUUCUCAUUAUCGUCAAUUCACUGUCCAACUGAACUGAAGGGCCCUUGGUCAACGAAUUUUUGUUUUUCUUAACUAAACUUGUUCUUGGUCGUUAACAAAUUUGCUUAUAUUAUCUUAUCCUGAAGUGUAACCAAUGCAUACAUACACGAGGAGAGUUUGAUUACUAAAAUUGGGUGUAGGUACUUUGAUUUAAGUAUAUAUUCGUAGAGAAUGUAAUUUAUAAUAUGAUAUCUUUUAUAAUAAAUAGUUUUUUUUUUGUUUUUAUUUGUCAAAAUGUCAUCAAGGUUCUCUUAACUUGGAUCUUCAAUUGCUGGAACCCUAUCAAUUGACAAAGUUUACAUUUGUAAAAUGGGAAAACAAUCUUUUAUCGCUGAAAUUCUUUUAGAACACUAGGUUGGUUUAGGUGGUCAUGUUCGGCGUCAGAACAAUACAAUUUUUUUAAUUAAUUUUUGAUCUGAAGGGAAUGCUAACCGUUAACGAAAAACCUUUCCAACUGGGUGAUCGUACCCUGUAUUUUUUUUCCAAGUGUAUUGAAAUUCCUAUUAGAAGCGAAACCAAUUUCCAGAAAUACUAUAACCUGUACAAGUUCUAAACACGUGUUAAUUAAAAAAACACUUAAUAAAAAAAGAAAAAAGAAACAAGGAAUGGAUGAUCUCAUGUUGAUUUUUGACCUAUUUGUCAGUAACAGGAUACAGGAGAAUUUAAAAAGAAAAAAGAAAGUUGGGAAUAAAGAAUAUUAGAGUAGAUCAAUUUUGCCACUCUCCACAAGUGCUUUUAUGGAUUUGUAACAUAUGAAAUGGAGGACACCUGGCUCCAUCUCAAACAGCUUCGACCUGUCAUCAGCAGGUCCAUCUUCCAGUUGAAUGCCCGUCAGAUACUCUUUACUUCUACAUAAAACAAAUGUGUCUAGUUCUGGUUCUGGUACUGAAAUAUACAAACAAAAUAUUUCUCACCACACAACCUUCAGGGAAAUAAUAUAUGGUAAACUAAAAGCACUAAAAGACUUCAGUUAGCAGAAGAGAAAACAUUAUGAGUGAGAAACCCCUUUAAAUCUAACAUGGUUGGUUCUUCACGGAAAAGAAUCCCCAAUUACUCAUGCACAGAGGGAUAGAAAAUUAAAGCGUAACCCAAUGUACCAGGCUCCUACCAAGUGGAUUUGAACAUGUGACUUGACUUCCAAGUCACAAGGUUGCUGGUCCUCAACCUUACCUUAGCACCACCCAAUAUGAUGCUAAAUCAUGUGUGCGAUUUUUGUGAUCAGAGAAAAAAAAUACAACAGUUAUAAUAAGAUGGCUAAUUAAACAAAAUGAUCAAAGUGCAACUGAGAGAAUAAUAAUCUUAUCAAAAAAAUACCCCCCUCCCGAUAGUUGACAAUAAUAUUUACCAAAAAUAAAAACAGCAAGGUUAAGCUACCAUCAGUUAUUCAAUAUAAGAGAAUAUGUGAAAUCAAGGGCUGUUAUAAGAUAGUGAAGUUUUACUUGGCUAUAAAGAAUAUCAUUAUAGCCAUCGGUACAGUGUUACUGCACAAUUAUUUAUGGUCAUUUAAUUUAAUUGUUGAAAUUACGGUUUCUAGAUAUAGAGGAAGGAAAAGAGAAAAAAGAAUGAAACAGCUAGUUAAUAUUAGCCAAGAUAUGUACAAUCUGUUAAUAAAACCUAUAUCACUGACCCUUAUUAUACUACUCAUAAUCUUAACUAAUUACGGAAAGUCAGAAACAACCUGAGAAUCUAUGGCAAUCAAUCCUAAGAGAAAAUGGGGAAUCACGGAAUUAAUCCUGAAAGAUAGUCUAAGAUAUGAUAAGCAUUUUUAGAUAUUUCAUGUACUCCAACACCAAUAAUGGAAGGGUGCACUAUACAAGGGUUUGAAGAACUUGAAAACUAACUUUUGGUCAAAUAUGCGAAGAUUAUUGCCUAAAAUCUUACUUUAGAAAGCUGGAUACUACAAGAAAAACUACAAGCAAGAAGGCCAAAUUAAUCAGAAAACUACUACAGAACUCAUCGUCAGAUUUUUCAAUCAAGAAAUGUAAAUUAUUUCAUGCUACUAACAAGGUAUGAAACCUGACCUCAUAAAAGACUGGUGAGUUUUAGGCAGAAACAAUUUGAUUACUCAAAC